GACGAACGCUGGCGGCGUGCUUAACACAUGCAAGUCGAGCGGUAAGGCUCCUUCGGGAGUACACGAGCGGCGAACGGGUGAGCAACACGUGAGCAAUCUGCCCUUCACUUCGGGAUAACCCUCGGAAACGAGAGCUAAUACCGAAUACGACCAGUUCAGACAUCUGAUGCUGGUGGAAAGUUCCGGCGGUGAAGGAUGAGCUCGCGGCCUAUCAGCUUGUUGGUGGGGUAACGGCCCACCAAGGCUUCGACGGGUAGCCGGCCUGAGAGGGUGACCGGCCACACUGGGACUGAGACACGGCCCAGACUCCUACGGGAGGCAGCAGUGGGGAAUAUUGGACAAUGGGCGAAAGCCUGAUCCAGCAACGCCGCGUGAGGGAUGACGGCCUUCGGGUUGUAAACCUCUUUCAGCAGGGACGAAGCGCAAGUGACGGUACCUGCAGAAGAAGCACCGGCCAACUACGUGCCAGCAGCCGCAGUAA
rnacentral:rRNA from 1 species